UGGUCUUUUAAACUCGCAAAUGUAUUCCCUGCUCCUUGCACACUAGCAGGUGUUUAGGAACAAUUUACUGAAUGAAUAAAGGGAUGCUGACCCUGGUACCUAGGCCCUCUUUUGACCUAAGCGGGUGGUUUUCAAACUGAAUUCUAUGGAGGGAAUGGCGCCAUGCCGGGAGCCCGGCUGGGUGGGUCUCUAGAUCUCUUUUCUUUUUUCAUUCAGAACAGCUCCACUAGGAUCUGUUUAAUAUACUAAGUGUUUUCAUUGUUCAUUGGACAAAGGGCUCAAAGUCAAAAGAGCAAAGCCAGGUCACUGUUGAGGAAGCAUUGGGUGGAAGGUUGGACGCCACAUCUUUGGAAGUCCUCUUUAACCCCAAUACUUGUGAUUCCAUGAAUGGGACACAAGUCGAGUCAGCUUUGAUAUUGAGAUGCGGUGGCAAGAAGAGAAGGACCAUGACAGACGUGUUCUGGCGAGGGAGUGGGUGGGGGUUCCCCAAGCAUGGGGGUGGGGGUCUUCCAGAGGGCGGCAGCCUGGUUCUAAGUUCUUCCUGCAGCUGCCUCAGCUACCUGCCCCUGAGUCAUGACCUGCGAUGCACUGGCUGAUGCUUUUAGCUGAGGCCACAUUUGAGGAUCCAGCAUUUUCCGACCACAACUUUAAACAUAAUGUUUGCUCCUCCACUCACCAAGAGAGCAACGGUCUUGCUCUCUGCGGUCUCAUUAAAUAGGAUUCUAUUUUCACAGCACUCACUUUUAGGACAUUCUUAUUUGCUGUUCCAGGCUCUCGGAGAGGCAGCCCAAGAGGCGCUGCUGCUAAAAUGACUCUGGGCACGGUAGAGAUGGGGAGAUACGGAAAUGAAUAGCAGCUUUGUUUAUUUGGCAUGGGACCAGGCAAGAGGAGCUAUAUUAAAAAAUAAAUAAAGUUCCCCUUCUUUCCUCAAGACAAAAAACAAAACAAAACAAACAAAAAAAAACAAACCUAUUCCGGCUGCGUGGCCAACAACACAAUUUCCCUCACAGAACAGAACAGAUGUGAGUACAUUGAGAUUAACUUUGUAGGAAGAAAUUUAAAAAAAUAAAAUAAUGAUGAGCGGUCGUGGGAUAGGGCUGGUGAGGGGGUAAUAUCAAGAGUAUUUGAGAUGCCCUCAUUAGGAAGCCGGAAAUAAAAUGAAGCAAUGGCCUGAGUAUGGUUCUAUCGACAUAUAGACACUCUGAGGCACCCACAUAUCCACAGGGCUCCCAAGUAUUCCUGAUUCCCUCUCUCGCAGACCUGGCUUGAGGUCUUCCCACAGUGGGGAAGAGAUAAUAACUAUUAAUAGUAUGGCCAUUCUCUGAGCAUUCACCAUGUGCCAAGCUCUGUGCCGAGUAUCCCGUGCACACCAUAAUGGAUGUAAUUCACCAUUCUUCCCACUGGCUUCGCUUGUCUGAGCUUCAGUUUUCCCUUCUGUAAAUGGGUUUAAUCAGAUUACCUACCCCAGAGAGCUGCUGUGACAACUGAGUAGGAAAACGCACAUGAACUACGAAGCACAGGGCCUGGCACCUAGUAUGCGGUCAAUAAAUACACGGUUUAUGAUGGUGACUAUUUUCCGUAAGGUAUUUCAAAUUCAAAAUGUUAAAACCUGAACCCAUUCUCUUUCCCCUUCAAGCCAUUUUUUCUUGAUUGUACACUUCAGUAAUGGAAUCGUGAUAAUCUUGAGUUCUUUUCCCGCCUGGCACAGUCAGUUCCCAAAUUCAUUCAAGUCUGCCGUUUUUCAUAUCACUCGACUGCAUCCUUAUCUCAUUCCUCACGGCCUUGCUUCCUGCCUGGGUACAAACCCUUAUCAUCUCUUCUCUGAACUGCCGCAGUUUCUUCCUAAUGGGGCCCUAAUCCCCCGCUUCCAACCCCCACCCCUCUCUUCUCUUCACACCACUGCCAGGACGCCUUUUUUCCCUUAUGAAUCUGACCAUGCCUAUUCUUUGCUUGAAACCCACCAGUGGGUCUCUCUCACCAAGAAGAUAAAGCCUGUAUUCUAGAGUGUAGCAUGAAACACUCUCAUGAUCUGGCCCCAGUCUCACUUUCUCUUCCUGGCCUCACUCCAGCCCAGGGCUUGUCCACACUGGCUUCACAUUAGCAUCACCAGGGGAUAAUACAAUGCCAGCAUCUGGGCCUUACUCCAGUCAAUCACAUUAGAGUCCCUGGGAUUAGGCCCUGGGCAGAAGUGGAAUUUACAAGCUUCCCGGGUGCUUCGAAUGCACUGCCAGGGUUAAGCAUCGCUGCUUCCCCCCAUUCUGAGCAGCUUGCUUGGGCCUUUAUGCUUUUGUGUGUAGGUCCUGCUGUGUUGGACAGUUUGCUCUGCUUUUUCUACCUGCGAUGUCUCCUUAUCUUUGGAGACACAGCUGAAGUUUCCCACCUUUAUGGAAGUCUUCCCUGGGACCCCCUCGAAGGGGCUCCUGUUGCCCAUGACAUUUCCUGCUAUGACAAUGUAAUCAUUUGCUUGCAUGGCUAGAUUCCUGCUAGAAAGGGACCCCCUUGGGAGGCCCAAUGUCCAUUCAUCUUUGGAUCCUCACACUGUUGUGGUUGUCUAAGUACAGCGUCUACACACACUUACAUGUUUUUUUGAUAAAUGAAAAUAUCAUUGGAGAUUUGUCCUCCAUCAUGACUCUAACUGGAUUCUCAGCUCUUGGCUUAUAUUUCUGCUUUAGAGUUUAUUCAUUCUGCCUUGAUCACAGUACAUUGUCUACAUGAUCUUCCUCCACCACCUGUCCUCACUCUGGGAGCUUAUUUCCUACCACUUUUUACCUCAAGCACUCACUCCUGCUCCAUUGGCCUCCUCCCUGUUCCUUGACCUCCCUGUUCCUGCCCCAGGGCCUUCGUCUGUGCUGUUCCUUCUGCUGUCAUGCCCUUCCUCCACAUGUCCACAUGACUCACUCUCUCCUUCCUUUACAUGGCACCUCACAGAAAGGCUUCUCUGAUCACAUUCGUCACACUCUGCCUCUUACUUGGUGUCUUUCUUUUUCAGAGCCCUUCUCAUCUCCUGAUAUAUGGAAGAUUUAUUUGUUUAUUCUUUUCUUCAUCUGCUUCCCUCCAUAGCAUGUAAGCUGCAUGGGGCAGGGACUUGAUUGUGUUUGAUAUUGCAUCUCCAGUGCCUAGAAUAGUGCCUGGCAUGUACAAAGUGCCUGGAUGCUAUAAAUACUUCUUCAAUACACGAAUGAAUGAAGAUGAUUUGCUUUCUAGUAAGCCAGUAUUUUCUUUCUUUCCUUUUCUUUUCUUUCUUUCUCUUUCUUUCUUUCUCUCUCUUUCUUUUUCUUUCUUUCUUUUCUUUCUUUCUUGCUUUCUCUCUCUCUCCCUCUCUCUUUCUGACAGGGUCUUACUCUGGGGCCUAGGCUGGAGUGCAGUGGCAUGAUCAUGGCUCCCUGCAGCCUCAAUCUCCCAUAUUCAGGUGAUCCUCCCACCUCAGCCUCCCAGGUAUCCAGGACAACAGGUGUGCACCACCACACCUGGCAUUUUUUUAUUUUUAUUUUUAGUAAAGAUGGGUUUUGCCAUGUAGCCCAGGUUGGUCUUGAACUCCUGGACUCAAGCUAUCCACCUGCCUCUGCCUCCCAAAGUGUUGGGAUUACAGGCAUGAGCCACUGACCCUAGUCAAGCCAAUAUUUUUCAAACUGUGAGUUUGAAAUUGGUCAUCAAAUCAACUUAAUGGAUCACAACCAACAUUUUAAAAAAUAAAAUACACUAGAACUGAAGAUAUCACAAUUCCUUGAACAUAGUAAGGGCAAGUAUUAUUCUGUAAAACUUAUCUUGGUCAAUAUACAGUAUCUAGCAAUCAGGUGGCAAGACAAAAUGUAUUCCUCAUUGGGGUUUAUUGUACACAUUUUUGGAAAAGCAUUGUGUUAGGCCAGAGAUUGGCAAACGUUUCCUGUAAAGAGUCCAGUGGUAAAUAUUUUAGGCUUUGUAGGACAUAAAAACUAUUGAACUCUGAUUUUGUAGUGUGAAAGUAGCCACAGACAUUAUGUGCACAAAUAAGCAGGGCCAUGUUAUAAUAAAACUUUAUUAACAAAAUCAGGUUGUGGGGCUAGAUUUGGCCUGUGGGUGGUAGUUUGCCAAGCCCUGCGCUAGACUGUUGUCUAGCCUGUGACUAUGUUUCAUAUGUGUAAAUUCCCUUUAUACAGGAGCUAUGUCUUUUUCAUCUCUGAAUCUUAACCAUGAGUGUGUCAUCCCAGCAUCUAACCCAUUGAUUAAAUAUAACAAAUGUUCAUGAAAUGUUUGCCAAUAUAUUCAAUGAACAUUUAUUGACUCCUUAACUCCAAACAGCUUGGCACCAAAUCCAUCAGUAUUUGUUGAAUGAAUGUAAGAGCCAUGUCUUAGUCUGUCUGGGCUGCCAUAACAAAAUAUCUUAGACUGGAUAAUUCAGAAAUUUAUUGCUGACAGCUCUGCAGGCUGGGAAGUCCAAGAUCUAGGUGUCAGCAGAUCAGUGUCUGAUGAGGGCUUUAUAGAUGGUGACUUUUGCUGCAUUCUCACACAGCGGAAGGGGCAAGGGAGCUCCCUCACACCUCCUACGUAAGGGCACUGAUCCUAUUCACGUGGGCAGAGUCCUCAUGACUUAAUCACUUCCCAGAGGAACCACCUCUUAAUACUAUCACAUUGGGUAUUAGGUUCCAACAUAUGAACCUAAUAAUAUGUUUAGGAAGACACCAACAUUCAGACCAUGGCAAGCCAUUAGUCUCAAAUUCUCAAAAGCCUUUGCCCCUCCUCCAACCCUUCUGAAGAUCAGGACUCAGAGCUCAAAGGUGUCCUUGCCCCAGCCGCUUGGGUCACUUGCUGCCAGGGGCCAGAAGGGGUGGUGGGAAGGUGAUGGGAACAACAGGGUUUGAUGGACUGUUUGGGGAACUGUCUAAUUAUCCUGCUUAUCAGUGCUGGUUCCUUUUCUUAGCUCUUUCCCUUAAUAAAUGAAAACUCCUUCUGUUGUUAUUGAGCUCCCGGGUCACUGAUUCUUUUGAGUCAUAUAAACCACAUGUUUAUAGAGUUACAGUGUGACCGUGAAAUUGAAUGGAGGGGAAGGGAGGCACCAGAGAAGUGUCAGCCUUGAAAGGCAACACUUUCUCUUCCCAGGCUUCUGCUCAUUGUGUAGGGCAAAGGACAGGGCUUUCCGCUGUCCAGGGCCCUGGCCUAGGCGGGGAGGGGAGCUGAGGUCACUGGGUACAGCUUGUGCGUCCACAGAGCUUACAGCCUGGUUGGGGAGGGAGAUGGCCAGGCUCAGAGUUGAAGAUGACCUAGAUCAUGCGUCAACAAACUAUGGCCUGAGGGCCAAAGCCAGCGCACCACCCGUUUUUGUACAGCCCAUGGGUUAAGAAGAGUUUUCAAAAUUUUAAACAGCAGUCUCCCCUUAUCCAUGGUUUCACCUUCUGUGGUUUCAGUUACUUGCAGUCAACCAUGGCCCAAAAAUAGCUACGAUCAGUGACCAUGGACUCAUAAGGCUUUUGUUUAAGAAUUGCCUAAGAUGUUCUUCAGAUCCUGAAUUCCAGCAGGAAAGCUAAUGCCAACCAGUUUGAAAACAACCACAGAGGAAUCGAAUCAGCACGAGAAUGCAGUUUCUUCAUUUCCCUGUCCCAUGACUUUACUCUGCACUCUUUGACCAAUCAAUAAUCCUGGACCUUGGCCCACUUCAAACCCCUUGAAAUCUCUAGCUCCAACUCCCUGGAGGGGUGGAUUUGAGGUUUCCUCCUGUUUCCUUGUUUGGCUGCCGUAUGAUUAUUAAACUCUUUCUUUGCUGCAAUCCCUGUUGCCUUGGUUUAUUGACUUACUGUGCAUCGGGCAAACAAACCUAUUAUGAUGACAUCAUGACGCAAUAUCCACCUCAAAGGACUGCUGGGAGCCUCAAAAAUUUACAAAUUUGUGAAUUGUAUGUGACUGUCUGAUGCCGGGGAGCAGCAAGGAGCUUUUGGUGAUUGGAGUGCGGUUUAAGUGACUGGCACUGGUGGUUACUGCUGGCCCCAGGGAGUGUGAGGCUAGCAGGAUGACCCAGAUUUCCCAAACCAGGCCAGGGCUCUUUCCAGUGAACCAAGGAUGAUGUGAAGAUGCAGGAGGUGGCAGAGGAAGAUCUCAGAAUAUCACUUAGGAAGACUAGACAGCACUUCAGCAC